rnacentral:lncRNA from 1 species
CCUCUGGCAGACAGGCGCGAUUUGCGCACCUGCCCUCCGUAAUUUUCGGCCGUUGGCCCAAUGCAUGGCCUCCCCUCUCCGCUGCCACCUGAAAACAAAGAGAAAGAAGACAAAAAUCAAGAGAUUAAAAAGAAAAUGAAAAGAGAGAGGGAGUGGGAGGGGGAGGGGGAGAGCAAUCAAAAAAAAAUUUCAAAAACAAAAAAGAAAAAAAAAGAGCAAAGAAGCUUCAAAAAAUCUGGAAUUCGGCCGAUUCCUUCUGCAGCCACCGUCGUCGUAGCGCCACCGUGUCCACCGCCCUACACCACCAUUGCCAACACCUAGCAAAACAAAGCAACAAGCAAAAAAUAUAAAAAUAGCAAGCAAAAAAACAGCAGCCAAAAAGAAGGAAGAGAAGAAAAAAAAUGAAGAAGAGAAGAAAGAAAAGAGAGAGAGAGAGGAAGAGAAGGGAGGCGCGCCAGCCACCGCACCACCGGACGGAGGGACCGUCGUUGACGGCGCAAAAAAGGGCUAGGUUCAGCCCGAAGAAGAAAAAGAAAAAAGGAAAUAAGGAAAAAAGAAGAAAAAAAAAGAAGAAAAAGAGAAAGAAAAAAGAAAUAAAAAAGGGAAAAAAAUAUCACAGUCGGGUCAACCCGACCCGACUGACCCGUCCCAACCCUCGGAGCCGACCUGACCCGCGCUCCAAUAGCCCCCCCAAAAUAGCAGGCCAC